CGAAUUAUAAGUGUAGAGUACACGAGCGGCGGACGGGUGAGUAACACGUGGGAAUCUACCCCAAACUGAGGGAUAAGCACCGGAAACGGUGUCUAAUACCGCAUAUGGUCUUCGGAUUAAAGCUUCGGCGGUUUGGGAAGAGCCCGCGUAAGAUUAGCUAGUUGGUGAGGUAAAGGCUCACCAAGGCGACGAUCUUUAGCUGGUUUGAGAGGAUGAUCAGCCACACUGGAACUGAGACACGGUCCAGACUCCUACGGGAGGCAGCAGUUAGGAAUUUCCACAAUGGGCGCAAGCCUGAUGGAGCAACGCCGCGUGCAGGAUGAAGGUUUUCGGAUUGUAAACUGCUUUUAUGUGUGAAGAAUAUGACGGUAACACAUGAAUAAGGAUCGGCUAACUCCGUG
rnacentral:rRNA from 1 species